rnacentral:sRNA from 1 species
UCUUGGAGGCAGCUCUACCGGCUGAGCAU